GGUGGUUUGGGGGAGUUGCUUUGGGAUUGCUAUAGCAGGUGCGACUUUAAAAAAAAAAUCACAUGGAACUUUAUCAAGUGCAUUUGGAAACAGUUGGAAAUUAGCCAGGAGGAACAUUCUCCUUCAAUCCCUUAGACAUCCAGUUGUGGGCUUGGAUUAGGCCCCUGAACAGCUGAGUUAGGAGGACACUGACACCUUGUCACACUUUGAAGCUCUUUAUUCCCUCCUCACCCUCCAACAAAAGCACCAGAGAUUGCCCUCCCCUAACUACACACACACACACACACACACACACACACACACGUCCAGCUGCCAGAUAUGCCAGUUCUCUUUCAGAGAACACUAGACAGUGAGUCCAGGCAAGUUACCAUGGUUCUCUAUUAUCGCGUCCAGCACAUCAGGGAAUGGAAAUAAGUGUGCACAUGUUCUUAAAGGCCCUUUGGGAAAGAUCAGUGGGGCUGCAUGGGGAACACAAUGGCAGGCUUUGUCACAAAGAAAGGAUUUGGGCUGGCAGGCAGCAACAGUCCUGCUGGACACAGAGUUUUUCUGCAAAGGCAGUGGGGGGAAAACCAUGUGCUGGAUUACACAGCAUCCUCACUGGGAAAAGUAGAGCAUUUUGUGUAAUUAAAAGUCAUCCUGAAGACAUCAGACUCACAUGUCCUAGAAGAGACAGCCUCUUCAGCCUGGAAUGAAGAGGACACUGGAAACAGACAUGCAUAUGAUCCAGCUUCUCAUAUGUCAAGAACAUGAAAAACUGUUUAUGUUCUAUUGUUGUAAGCCAUUGAGUUGUAUAGUUGUUCAUUCCUAGAGCAAAGAUGAAUAAUUUAGAACACAGAACAAAAAGGGUACGUGAUUUGCUCAAGUUUACACAAUUAAGCAGCUAAAUGACAGAAUCAGAAUUGAAUCUCACUUCUUUUAACAUCCAGUCCAGUCUUCUCUUCAUAUUUCAGAACUCCUUAAAUGACCGAUGUAAAUAUCUACACAGAAUACUUUACUGAGAUAUUUAGAACAUCUGAAAAAGCAAUUUACUCCAAGACAAUGGCUUUGACCAAUUAAUUGUUCCUUACAUGCAACUAACAGGCUACUAGCAAUCCAUGAAACUCUCAUUGUGGUCACUAGUGACCAUACCAACCAGGAGCUACUCCUCUUGAUGUGAACUGGGUGGUGUGGAGUUGGGGACUGAGUAAGGUUUGCCCCUUUACAUUUGUUCUUAUUAGCCAGGUCAUCUUCAAGUGCCUGUUAUCUGUGGUAAGAUACUGGAUUCCAGCAACAGCUCCAGUGUAUCAGUAUAGUCUUAUCUUAGGAACAUAUGGACUCUUUCAUACUUGGUUUCCCUAAGUAGGCUUUUAAAAGUGAUGGCAAAUUCUGUCAACAACUCACACCUGUUUUGUGUCCGCUCCAGUAAAAAAAUCUGUCUGGGCACUUCAAGAAGCUCCUUUUACUAUGAGGCCACUUUGUACCCUGUUCCAUUUACUCCUGUCGCCAUUUCCCUCAGGAGGUUUUUCAAAAUGUAUGUCUUCAGUGAGCCCUUCUGGUUAGAACUACAACCUUUUAUCUACUGAUUAUGUUCGUUUUUGGACCGUUAUACCCCAUCUGAAGUAUAUGAUAUAGAUUUUCUAUAUCUAACUCAAUAUUUGUUCUGUAUUCACUUGAUCUGUCAGUCAUAUUAGACUAUAGGAAUUUGAAAGUGGA
ensembl:lncRNA